rnacentral:rRNA from 1 species
GGCAAGUCUGGUGCCAGCAGCCGCGGUAAUUCCAGCUCCAGUAGCGUAUAUUAAAGUUGUUGCAGUUAAAAGCUCGUAGUUGAACUUCUGUGGCGUGGCUGCGCGUGGCAACACGUGCGGCCUGGCCACAUCCUCCUGAGGAGCUCGUCUUCAUUCACUUGUGGGCGAGUGUUCAGGAACUUUACCUUGAGAAAAUUAGAGUGUUCCAGGCAGGUUUAGCCUGAAUAGUGCAGCAUGGAAUAAUACAAGAGGACUUGGCUCCAGUUGUUGGUGUAUGGCGCUGAGUAAUGAUUAACAGGGAUAGUUGGGGCAUUCGUAUUUAAUUGUCAGAGGUGAAAUUCUUGGAUCGCCGCAAGACGGACUACUGCGAAAGCAUUUGCCAAGAACGCUUUCAUUAAUUAAGAACGAAAGUCAGAGGUUCGAAGAUGAUCAGAUACCGU